GUACUUACAGCUAAUUUUUACUACCACCUUAUUUUCCUUAUUCUACAAUGUUUACGGAACCUCUGCAAGUUAGGUUCGAUCCGCUAUAUCCUAAAGUUCUUACAACUGGAAGUUAGGAUUGUGUUAUUUUUGUACUAUCUUCCAAUUUUAAGUGUUUUAGCAAUAAUCAUCUACCUAUUUCGUAAAUUCAAAUUCUUUAAUGUAGCUAUGCUGAAUUUUUAUUCCCAAAGACUGUCCUAUAGCUUCUAUCGCCUGUCAUGCCCAAGGAGAAAUUUUAGUUGUAGCUAUAGUUGUAGGCCACAAGGUUAGAAAUUUCAAACAUUACACUGCCGUUAGUUUAAUUUUGGACUCUCUUCACUGUUGUUGACUUUGUGAUAUGUGAUAGCUAUACGUGUGGCGAUACAACAGGAGAGGAGAGGCUUCCUCACCAACAAUUAUCCUUCAAACACGCUGUUCACUCUGAGCUGUAGUUAUUCCGUUUCGAAGGGAUGCAAAUAUCACAACCUUGGCUGCUUAAACAUAUGGCAUAAGAAAGCAUUAGAAAAAGUUGACGCUUAUCAUGGAUGGAGUGUACUUCUUAAUAAGAGAAUAAGAAGUCAUCUGGGCUUGGAAGAUGCGAAGACAGAAGAUGUGUCUAAAGACAAAACUGUAGCUGAAACUCUUGAGAACCUCUAUUUUCCUUAAUGGUUUUUGAAAAUGAUGAAAUCUUUAUAAUUAAAUUUAUGUAGAAAAAUUAAAAAGAUUAGUCUAUCAUUUGAAGAAUUCUGUUUAUAUAAUUGAUACCGAUCUAUCCAUUCAUAAAUGUUUUAUAUUUCAAGCAAGAAAAUUAUUUGAGUUUCCCAGCUGGCAAAGCCAGAUAAAGUUAUAAAACAACUUGAUGUCAGAACAAAUUGCUGCCUUACACUGGAGUAUCAUGUGAAAGUUGAGCUGCUAUGGCUGUGGGAAGUUUUGUCAACUGCAAUGCUGUUCAAAGAAGAGAUUCGAUUGAAUCUGGAAAAUGUGGAGUUAGACGUGCUUGGCUCAUGUAAAAAGGUCACAAUAUCUAUGGAUGACCCUAUUAUUCGUGAUGGAGCUGGUAAGAGGAAAGCCAUAGAGGGAAGACAUAAACAAGUUUGUGUUUCUUCAUUCACCUCGGUAUUAAAAAGCUUUAGGAGCCUUGAGGUAAAAAAUACUGGGUCUUUUGACCACUUCAAUUUGUAUACUUAGUUUCAUAUUCUCAUUUACUUUCUAUAUGUUGAUACAUAUCCUUAGCAAUAAAAUUUGCCCAUUUCUAUGAUUAAUUA